AGUGGCGAACGGGUGAGUAACGCGUGAGUAUCUGCCCUUAGGAGGGGGACAACAGUUGGAAACGACUGCUAAUACCCCAUAUGUCUACGGAUGAAAGAUUUUAUCGCCUGAGGAUGAACUCGCGUCUGAUUAGCUAGUUGGUGAGGUAAUGGCUCACCAAGGCGACGAUCAGUAGCUGGUCUGAGAGGAUGAUCAGCCACACUGGGACUGAGACACGGCCCAGACUCCUACGGGAGGCAGCAGUGGGGAAUUUUCCGAAAUGGGGGCAACCCUGACGGAGCAAUACCGCGUGCGGGAGGACGGCCUGUGGGUUGUAAACCGCUUUUCUCAGGGAAGAAGACCUGACGGUACCUGAGGAAUCAGCAUCGGCUAACUCCGUGCCAGCAGCCGCGGUAAUACGGAGGAUGCAAGCGUUAUCCGGAAUUAUUGGGCGUAAAGCGUCCGUAGGUGGUUAAUCAAGUCUGCUGUUAAAGAGCGGAGCUUAACUCCGUUUAAGCGGUGGAAACUGGUUGACUAGAGAGUGGUAGGGGUAGAGGGAAUUCCCAGUGUAGCGGUGAAAUGCGUAGAUAUUGGGAAGAACACCGGUGGCGAAAGCGCUCUACUGGGCCACAUCUGACACUGAUGGACGAAAGCUAGGGGAGCGAAAGGGAUUAGAUACCCC
rnacentral:rRNA from 1 species